AUAUCUAGUUCUCACAUGUAUCUUGCUUUUCUCCUAUGUAUCUUGUUUUUAUCUUAUGUAUCUUUAAAUCUUGAUUAAGGAACAUUGUAUCUGUCUUUGUUUUUGACAUGAAUGUAUGAAAAUGUUCCUAUUUUGAUCAAUGAAGUUUGAAGUUUAUUAUUUAUUGCAUCUUUUUCCAUAUAUAUAUUUUUGAUGAUAACAAAAAGGGGGAGAAGAAAAGAAAGAGUAUUUAAGAAAAGAAAGAGUAUUUAAGAAAAGAAAGAGUAUUAAGAAAAGAAAGAGUAUUAAUUUUGGGAGAAGUAAAGAUAUAUAACAAAAAGAGGAGAAAUAAAGAUAAAAGUUAUGUAAAGAAAAGAGAAAUAAAUGGGCAAACAAAUUGAAAAUCAUAUAAGAAAGCUUAUACAUCAAGGGGGAGCAAUUUGUAACAAUGAAAUUGACUAAAUCAAAAAUUUCCAUCAAAGUUCAGAAUUUGGCACAUAUAAAUUCAGAAUUUGGCACGCACCUCUUGCACCCCGAUACAUAACCUGAAACU
rnacentral:lncRNA from 1 species